UGGUUGAUCCCGCCGGAGGCUACCGCUAUUGGAGUUCGAUUAAGCCAUGCGAGUCGCGAGUCUUAGGGACUCGGCGUACCGCUCAGUAACACGUGGGUAACCUGCCCUAUGCUGGGGGAUAACCUCGGGAAACUGAGAAUAAUACCCCAUAGUUCACCACGCCUGGAACGGUGGGUGGAUGAAAGCUCCGGCGGCAUAGGAUGGGCCUGCGGCGUAUCAGGUUGUAGGGGGUGUAAUGUACCCUCUAGCCAUCUACGCGUACGGGUGUUGGGAGACAUCGCCCGGAGAUGGAUUCUGAGACACGAAUCCAGACCCUACGGGGUGCAGCAGGCGCGAAAACUUGGCAAUGCGAGCAAUCGUGACCAGGGAACUCCAAGUGCAUCGGGUAAGACCGAUGCUUUUCUUGACUCUUCAAAGGUCUUGGAAUAAGGGGUGGGUAAGGACGGUGCCAGCCGCCGCGGUAAUACCGGCGCCUCAAGUGGUAGUCGCUUUUAUUGGGCCUAAAACGUCCGUAGCCGGUUUGGUACAUUCGUGGGUAAAUCAAGGCGCUCAACGUCUUGAAUUCUGCGAGCACGGCCAGACUUGGGACCGGGUGAGGUGUGGGGUACUCUCAGGGUAGGGGUAAAAUCCUGUCAUCCUGAGAGGACCACCUGUUGCGAAGGCGCCACACUAGAACGGAUCCGACGGUCAGGGACGAAGCCUAGGGGCACGAACCGGAUUAGAUACCCGGGUAGUCCUAGGUGUAAACGCUGUGGACUUGAUGUUGGGAGUGCUCCGAGCACCCUCAGUGUCGAAGCGAAGGUGAUAAGUCCACUGCCUGGGGAGUACGGUCGCAAGGCUGAAACUUAAAGGAAUUGGCGGGGGAGCACUGCAACCUGAGGAUUGUGCGGUUUAAUUGGAGUCAACGCCGGA
rnacentral:rRNA from 1 species